UCAGUAUGUAAUAUUGACCAUUUGAAAUUGACUUUAAAUCUGAAGUCAGAUUUACUUUGGAUUUCUGUCCACAUGGAGAAGCUGACAAUCUGCCAAAAGAAGUCUAUAUGGUGAGUGGUUCUUAAGCACACAGAAGCAGUUGGAGUGCUUCGUUCGCAAGAGGCGACAGUGUCUCAGAGGGUCCAUAUUAGUGCUGUGAGCCAUGACGUCCUAGCGUGGCCUCUGAUACCGCUGAGGCUCCGUAGAGAGCUUAUGUAGAUCCUUUCCUGUAGCACUAAAGGAUGCUGUGAAUCUCUCGCCAAUCAUCUCUUGGAGAAACAACCCUUCUGGCUUCUUUUUGUGGGAUGAUGCCGAGACUAAUAAAGGCCUACCCAGAUGUCCUGAGCUCAGUGCUUCACUAAUCCUCUUUUCCAUCACUUUCUUCUCUUUCAUUCUCUCCAUCCAUCAGCAGGCCUUGUAUGGAGUGUGUUCUGGUCAAAAGUCAUCCUACAUGCUGGGGGACCCCGGCCCAAGUUGAAGGGGGACAGGUUGAAGGAGAUUAUCUCUGUGAUAAUGCAGCGAGUCACACCUGGCUGCCUGGCCUGCAGCUGACUCCAAAGUCAAUGGAUUAUCUGUAGAAACCUGCAUCAAUCAAUAAAACUAGUGGAGAUUCACAUUAUUUUAAUAGAGCAGGAAAGUGGCUUCCACAUCCUGAAAGCUUACCUCCUUGAAGGUGAGCAAUGAGUGCAGUUCCAGAAUAGGACGAAUACUGCAGUCAUAUGUUUUCAUACCUGUGCUGUCAAACGGCUGGUUUGAGAGGAGACGGCAGGAUGUGUGGAUGUGCGUCAGAUGAAUUGCAAAGGCCAAACAAAGACCAGAAUCACCUGCGUCGGGUGCAAAAAAAACCCUGCCUUGUCAGUUACUUCUGAAUUAAAAUCUAUUUGUAAUUCUAGGCUCCAGACAUGGCCCAUUUUAGUGAGGAUGAGCCCAUUAUUCAGGCUGACCUCUGAGGUUUCAAACUCAAAUUAUGAGGCCCAAGGGGUGGAGCCAAAAUCCCCCAGCAGCCCCUGGCCCGGGUUACCCUCUCGCCUGCUAAAGAAAAAUGAAGUGCCUCAAGACUUGGCUGUAGCUUGGGAAUAACGUGAACACAACUCAAGGGAAGGAGCUGAGAUGCUGUUAAAUGGGACAUGUUGUGCACCUUCUUGGAGACAAAGACAAACGAAAAGCAAAACAAAUCUACAAUUGGCCUAUGUUACAUGUUCUGAAUUAAUUACAUACAUCUAAUGGCUAAUGUUUGCCAUGUUUAAGCACUGAAAUCCCCAAAGAGAAAAAUGAAAUCUUGCCAUUUCAAAGGCACCGUUUCUCUCUCUCCGUUCUUCAGAAAAAGUUUGAGCUUAAGAGUAUGUUUCACAUCUAACCCUAUGUAGCAAUUUGCAAUAAUCUGAAGGCACAUUUAUUCUGUGAGCCGCAAAUAGAAAAAGGAAAUGACCUACUUUCACUUAAAUCAUCUAUUGUUUUCACUGCCACAAGAGUUAACAUUCAUGCACGACUCGGGCGGAAGCUUCAAAAGUUAUAAAGAAAUUAAUUUAAUCCCCAAAAGACUUCCUUAACGGGACAGGUAAAGACUCUUCCCGAACUGUAUUCCCAAUGAAAUAUCAUGUUUAGGAUAUAUUUCUCACUGAGGUAGUCUGACACGCCACUUUGUCAAACUCGACUACCUAUUAUGGUGAAGGCAAACUUCUUUGUUCCAAGAGGAUCCGGACGUAUCGCUGUUGAAUUGCUGAAACUUAGAGGCUCGUUUCGUCUCCUUCUUUGAGUGCUACUUUUGAAAAGGAAAAAUUGAAAUGACUAAGAUGAUGGAUUGCUGCUUUCAAAUGUUUGUCAUAUUAAAUUGAAUUCCUCUCAUAGUUGGCAGUAUUGCUCUUUGUAAGCGUCAGACUUGAGUCAGUCUAUUGUUAGGUUCCUUUUCAUUGUGUUGUCUAACACAAUGUGAAAGCAAAGUCUCUUUUUGAUCACUUCUAAGUGUGACAAACCAACACCACAACACCAGCAGAAUGCCGCUUACAAUUACUGAUCUGAAAUUGUGAUUCUUUCC
ensembl:lncRNA